UGAAUGCCGGUGAUGGUGUUAAAUAUACUUUGAGAGCUAAGUCUCUAGGAAAAAAUAAACAACGCUGAGGCAUUCU
rfam:Brassica rapa chromosome A8, whole genome shotgun sequence.